rnacentral:lncRNA from 1 species
UGGUAAAGAAGCUGGUGUGGCUAAAACACUGAGUUUGUUUUAUUUAUGUCUGAGCUAUAGGUAUCCCUCAGCACGGAUUUAUACCUUAACAAUGAAUUGAGAGCAUGCCAAUCUCUAAACUACUUCUUGGUACAUGCUUUUAGUGUGGACAUUGUGACCAGAAAGGUAGGAUAAGGUGCAUCUUGUCUGCAUGCUGUGACAGAAAAUAUUUCUUGGUCUCCUGAACUUUGAGCUGAAUACGUGUUUUUUUUUUUUUUUUUUUUUUUUUUUUUUUUUUGAGAACAUUAACAUUUAUCCCAUUUCUGUGGUGUCACAUUAGAAGAGUUAUUUAAUGACUCAUUAACUUUUGUAAUGUUUUGAGUCAGCACAACAGGUCAGAAUAUCCUGAAUUGGAAGAGACCCUCAAGGAUGAUAGAGUCCACCUCCUGACACGUACUCCAUCUCAAGUUGAAAGCUCAGCUCAAUAAACAAGUUGCAGUUUUGCUCAGUACAUUGCUGUGCUAUUGCUGCAAAGGUCCCACCUGCCCCAAUUUGCUAUACAGAAAGGCUACAUCAUGGGAGCGAUGACUACAAGCAACUUGGCGUGCUUUCCGUUUCAGCAAGAGGGCUGUUCCUGUCUCUGCCACUUCAUUGUGCCCUCCCAUUGAGAAGGUUAAGUACUUCUCUCUCCACUAAAUCUUGCAGAGUACACAAACGGUAGAGCAAUCUUAAGUGAGCUACAUAAUGCGAGGUUUGCAGCAGUAAUUGCAAUGCAUGCAUGAAGAGUCAAAGAGGGUGCUUAGGGAAUAUUCUUCAAUGAAAAGAUGUGUUAGCUCCAAUUUCCCUGGCUAAUAUAGCUCCCAGUGCUACUUUUGUAAAACAGCCCAUCCAUGGCAGCCAGAUCCGGAGAGGGUGUCUGCAGUCUGAGACUGUAGGAAACAGGCUUCAGGGAGCUGAUCCCAGAAGACCUCCUGCUAUGUGUGGUACUAUCAUCAUUUAUAUAAACAUCAGCCUCUCAGAGCCUGACCUAUAAUGUUCUUAGUGGCACAGCAGCAAGAUACCUUUUAGCAGCCACUCAUGAAAUAAUUGGUCUGACCUACAUGAGGAUUUGUCAAGAGAGAUAGUUCAUAUCUGAUUUCAAUGGCUCAGCGAGUGUUUUAAGCUUUGAAUCACACCAAAAGUUAGAAAACAACAUAAACUAUGUAUUUUGCACGUAUGUUAAAAAUGAUCCACACAUUCUGGUCAGUAUGACUUUGGCACAAACUUCAAAUGUGGGUAGAACAGUCUGCACAUAAAACAAAUUCCUACAAGAAA